AUUUCUUCCCCCUCUGGACAAGCCCGGACGACACGGGGCCACUGUUCUGUGACUCUGACCUCUGCCGUACAUUAAACAAGAGGAGGGCGGGUCACAUGGACACCUCAUUAAUUCGUCCUCCCUGUGGCAGGAGGAUGGAGGGACAGCAGAGGGCAGAACUCUCCACACUGCAGCCUUAUCAAGGAUAACGAGUGACUGUGGUGGGGGCUCGGGGGAGGGGGCCUGGACCAAGUGCUCCCAGGGGCCUUCUGGCCCUGACCCACUGAGGAUGCACCCUGCUGUGGCCUCCUUGCAGUAGCCCCAGGACUGGCCACCCUGGCUCCUGCAGGCCAAGCCCCUGGGGCUCCCGGCUCCUCCUGCUGCGUCAGGCCCAGCCUCCUUCCAACCUGCCGAGCUGCUGACCAGCCCCAGGCGUUCCUCAGGACAGUCUCUGAGUUUGGACAGCGACCUCUAAACCCUGCCCAUGCUGUGAUUUUAUCCUGGCCAGUCUUUGCUUGCACACCAUUGCCAUUUAAAUCAUUCUGCCGGUGAAACCUGGGUUGAAGAAACCAAGGGUUCUGGGUCCCCCAGUGGUGACCCAGCGAGGAAUGUAGAGGUUGGAACAAUCUUCACCUUUCACAGGCUUGGAGUUCACUUGCUCCAGAACAACUUUGUGACUUUUCGGGAGAAUGCCAACAGUAAUCUCCAUGUGGCCCCUUGGAAAGAACCUGGGCUCUGCCAGGCUUUGGUGCCCUCUCUGCAGCUCUCAGGCUGAGUUUUGGUGAAAUGAUGCUUGUGGAACGCCUAGCAAAGCGCCCCCGCUCACAGUGGCCCCACGAAGCAGUAGGUCCCCUAAACUACCUGCACUUGCCCGUCUGAGCCUCCCUCCUGCUGCCCCUUCUCUGUGCCCCAGAGCCUGACCACAUCAAUGAGUCCCUGUGCUCUGGCGCUGGCUGGUUUUGGCCAGUGGGGUUCCCUGGCAGGGGGCAUGUAGUGGCCACACUCUGGCUGACUGUCUUGCCCAUCAGGAGGCCCUGGCCCAGCAGGAGGCCCUCCCCACUCGGCCCUCCUGCUGGGAUCUGGACUAUUUCCCUGCUUCCUCAUCCCUUUAGGCCUAGAGGAGGGAGCAGACCCCUCGUGGUGUCCUAUACCCUGGCCUCAACUUGUAAAUAGUUCCUUUAUUAAACUCUCAGGUCCUUCGGC